AAGUCGUAACAAGGUUUCCGUAGGUGAACCUGCGGAAGGAUCAUUCACACAAUUUGUAGGAUAAUUACACGAUAAGGAUAGUAUAUGUAGUGUGGUCAUAUAUGGGGCAUUAAACAAUAACACGUGAGAUGUUCUAUGUGUGAUUAUAUUAUAUGUGCUGUUCAUGUCCCUAUCUAUCUAAUAUCUAUUUACCACCGACACACCCCUUGACUGCCUGUUUCGUGCACAACGGCUAUUGAUGUGGUAAAACACAACGAAGGUCGCCUUACACCUUUCUUCAUUGCAUGAGCAGCGGCAACUGUAAGUGUAAUGAUGUCAUUAGUCUGAGCCCUUCUAGGGUGGAAAUGUAGUAAUACGUAUAAUAACAUACAACUCUUUGCAAUGGAUAUCUUGGUUCUC
rnacentral:misc_RNA from 1 species